UACGUAGGGGGCAAGCGUUGUCCGGAUUUAUUGGGCGUAAAGAGCGUGUAGGCGGCUAGAUAGGUCCGUUGUGAAAACUCGAGGCUCAACCUCGAGACGCCGAUGGAAACCAUCUAGCUAGAGUCCGGAAGAGGAGAAUGGAAUUCCGUGGUGUAGCGGUGAAAUGCGCAGAUAUCAGGAAGAACACCCGUGGCUAAGGCGGUUCUCUAGUACGGUACUGACGCUGAGACGCGAAAGCGUGGGGAGCGAACAGG
rnacentral:rRNA from 1 species